rnacentral:rRNA from 2 species
GACGGAGGGGGCUAGCGUUGUUCGGAUUUACUGGGCGUAAAGAGUGCGUAGGUGGUUUAGUAAGUUGGAAGUGAAAGCCCGGGGCUUAACCUCGGAAUAGCUUUCAAAACUACUAAUCUAGAGUGUAGUAGGGGAUGAUGGAAUUCCUAGUGUAGAGGUGAAAUUCUUAGAUAUUAGGAGGAACACCGGUGGCGAAGGCGGUCAUCUGGGCUACAACUGACACUGAUGCACGAAAGCGUGGGGAGCAAACAGG